GGCCAAGUUUUUAAGGGCGCACGGUGGAUGCCUUGGCACUAGGAACCGAUGAAGGACGUGGGAGGCCGCGAUAGUCCCCGGGGAGCCGUCAACCAGGCUUUGAUCCGGGGGUUUCCGAAUGGGGAAACCCGGCAGUCGUCAUGGGCUGUCACCCAUACCUGAACACAUAGGGUAUGUGGAGGGAACGAGGGGAAGUGAAACAUCUCAGUACCCUCAGGAAGAGAAAACAACCGUGAUUCCGGGAGUAGUGGCGAGCGAAACCGGAUGAGGCUAAACCGGAGUGGUGUGAGACCCGGCAGGGGUUGCCGCUUCGGGGUCGUGGGAAAGUUCUUCAGUCGUCUGCCGGCGGCUGGGUGAGUCAGAAACCGUAUGGGUAGUCGAAGGACAUGCGAAAGGUCCGGCGUAGAGGGUAAGACCCCCGUAGACGAAACUUGUACGGCUCACUUGAGCUUCUCCCAAGUAGCACGGAGCCCGAGAAAUUCCGUGUGAAUCUGGCGGGACCACCCGCUAAGCCUAAAUAUUCCCUAGUGACCGAUAGCGGAUAGUACCGUGAGGGAAUGGUGAAAAGUACCGCGGGAGCGGAGUGAAAUAGUACCUGAAACCGUGUGCCUACAAGCCGUGGGAGCGUCGUCGUGGUUUUCGGAUCACGGCCGUGACUGCGUGCCUUUUGAAGAAUGAGCCUGCGAGUUUGCGGUGUGUAGCGAGGUUAACCCGUGUGGGGUAGCCGUAGCGAAAGCGAGUCCGAAUAGGGCGUCUGAGUUGCAUGCCCAAGACCCGAAGCGGAGUGAUCUAGCCAUGGGCAGGUUGAAGCGCGGGUAAGACCGUGUGGAGGACCGAACCCACCAGGGUUGAAAACCUGGGGGAUGACCUGUGGUUAGGGGUGAAAGGCCAAUCAAACUCCGUGAUAGCUGGUUCUCCCCGAAAUGCAUUUAGGUGCAGCGUCGCGUGUUUCUUGCCGGAGGUAGAGCACUGGAUAGGCGAUGGGCCUUACCGGGUUACUGACCUUAGCCAAACUCCGAAUGCCGGUAAGUGAGAGCGCGGCAGUGAGACUGUGGGGGAUAAGCUCCAUGGUCGAGAGGGAAACAGCCCAGAACACCGACUAAGGUCCCUAAGCGUGUGCUAAGUGGGAAAGGAUGUGGAGUCGCAGAGACAACCAGGAGGUUGGCUUAGAAGCAGCCACCCUUGAAAGAGUGCGUAAUAGCUCACUGGUCAAGUGAUUCCGCGCCGACAAUGUAGCGGGGCUCAAGCACAUCACCGAAGUCGUGUCAUUGCAGCAAUACUCCUAACGGGGGCUGUGAUGGGUAGGGGAGCGUCGUGUGCCGGGUGAAGCAGCGGAGGAAUCCAGUUGUGGACGGUAUACGAGUGAGAAUGCAGGCAUGAGUAGCGAUACAAGAGUGGGAAACUCUUGCGCCGAUUGACCAAGGGUUCCUGGGUCAAGCUGAUCUGCCCAGGGUAAGUCGGGACCUAAGGCGAGGCCGACAGGCGUAGUCGAUGGACAACGGGUUGAUAUUCCCGUACCCGCUUUGAAGCGCCAACGCUGAACC
rnacentral:ncRNA from 1 species